CUCCUACGGGUGGCUGCAGUGGGGAAUUUUGGACAAUGGGCGAAAGCCUGAUCCAGCCAUGCCGCGUGAGUGAAGAAGGCCUUCGGGUUGUAAAGCUCUUUCAGACGGAAAGAAAUCUCCCAGGAUAAUACCUUGGGAGGAUGACGGUACCGUAAGAAGAAGCACCGGCUAACUACGUGCCAGCAGCCGCGGUAAUACGUAGGGUGCGAGCGUUAAUCGGAAUUACUGGGCGUAAAGCGUGCGCAGGCGGUGAUGUAAGACAGAUGUGAAAUCCCCGGGCUCAACCUGGGAACUGCGUUUGUGACUGCAUCACUCGAGUACGGCAGAGGGAGGUGGAAUUCCGCGUGUAGCAGUGAAAUGCGUAGAUAUGCGGAGGAACACCGAUGGCGAAGGCAGCCUCCUGGGCCAGUACUGACGCUCAUGCACGAAAGCGUGGGGAGCAAACAGGAUUAGAUACCCUGGUAGUCCACGCCCUAAACGAUGUCAACUAGUUGUUCGGUGAGGAGACUCAUUGAGUAACGCAGCUAACGCGUGAAGUGACCGC
rnacentral:rRNA from 1 species